GUGGGGAAUAUUGGGCAAUGGGGGAAACCCUGACCCAGCAACGCCGCGUGAAGGAAGAAGGCUUUCGGGUUGUAAACUUCUUUUAUGAGGGACGAAGAAGUGACGGUACCUCAUGAAUAAGCCACGGCUAACUACGUGCCAGCAGCCGCGGUAAUACGUAGGUGGCAAGCGUUGUCCGGAUUUACUGGGUGUAAAGGGCGCGUAGGCGGGAUAGCAAGUCAGGUGUGAAAUCCGGGGGCUUAACCCUCGAACUGCACUUGAAACUGUUAUUCUUGAAUGAUGGAGAGGCAAGCGGAAUUCCUAGUGUGGCGGUGAAAUGCGUAGAUAUUAGGAGGAACACCAGUGGCGAAGGCGGCUUGCUGGACAUUAACUGACGCUGAGGCGCGAAAGCGUGGGGAGCAAACAGGAUUAGAAACCCCAGUAGUCC
rnacentral:rRNA from 1 species